rnacentral:misc_RNA from 1 species
CCAAGCAGCCAUUCAAUUCAGAUCUAAGUAAGAAUUGUAGUCUCCACAAGGAGCAGAAUUAGCAGACCUGAAACCUAGUAUAUAGUUCCAAAACUCAGGCUGUUUGUUAAAUAUUAGAAAUUCAAAGAAGAACUCAAAACUAGGUGUACCAUAUCAAACAAAAGACACGUGUUGCCACCAAGGUUCUGGUGGAGUACAAGAGAGAAUCCAAUGAGCGAAAAGAAAACUAGACCAGGAAUUAAAGCUAUCCAACUGAUUAGGAUUAUUCAUUAUGAAUAACUGUUGGUUUAUGUAUAUCAAUGAGAGAAGAUGUUCAAAAGAAAGUUGAAUCAUUAAAUAGAAUUACUGAUUCUGCAAAACAUAAUGUAUAUAUGAAAAAACUGGGAAUAAUAGUUGAUUUUUGGCUGGAUCAUAUUUGAACAUGCAUCAGGACACUGAGUGAAUCAAAGACUGCACAAUCUGGAUUUUAGCAUAUCUGA